rnacentral:rRNA from 1 species
GAUGAACGCUGGCGGCGUGCUUAACACAUGCAAGUCGAACGAUGGAGCCCUGCUUGCUGGGUGGUUUAGUGGCGAACGGGUGAGUAACACGUGAGUAACCUGCCCUUAACUUUUGGAUAAGCCUGGGAGACUGGGUCCAAUACCUGAUAGGAGCGUCCACCGCAGGGUGGGAGUUGGAAAUAUUUUUCGGUUUUGGGUGGACUCGCGGCCUAUCAGCUUUUUGGUGAGGGAUGGGCUGACCAAGGCGACGACGGGUAGCCGGCCUGAGAGGGAGACCGGCCACCAUGGGACUGAGACACGGCCCAGACUCCUACGGGAGGCAGCAGUGGGGAAUAUUGCCCAGUGGGCGCAAGCCUGAUGCAGCGACGCCGCGUGUGUGAUGACGGCCUUCGGGUUGUAAACCUCUUUCAGUAGGGAAGAAGCGAAAGUGACGGUACCUGCAGAAGAAGCACCGGCUAACUACGUG